AUUGAACGCUGGCGGCAGGCUUAACACAUGCAAGUCGAACGAGUGGCGGACGGGUGAGUAAUGCUUGGGAAUCUAGCUUAUGGAGGGGGAUAACUACGGGAAACUGUAGCUAAUACCGCGUACCAUAGGAUGAGCCCAAGUGGGAUUAGGUAGUUGGUGAGGUAAAGGCUCACCAAGCCGACGCUCUCUAGCUGGUCUGAGAGGAUGACCAGCCACACGGGGAGUGAGACCCGGCCCAGACUCCUGCGGGAGGCAGCAGUGGGGAAUAUUGCGCAAUGGCGUCAACCUGAUGCAGCCAUGUCGCGGGAAUUAAGAAGGCCAUCGGGUUGUAAAGUUCUUUCGGUAGCGAGGCGUUAACUACAGAAGAAGCACCGGCUAACUCCGUGCCAGCAGCCGCUGUAAUAC
rnacentral:rRNA from 1 species